rnacentral:rRNA from 1 species
CCUACGGGUGGCUGCAGUGGGGGAUAUUGCACAAUGGGGGGAACCCUGAUGCAGCGACGCCGCGUGGGUGAAGAAGCGCCUCGGCGCGUAAAGCCCUGUCAGCAGGGAAGAAAAUGACGGUACCUGAAGAAUAAGCCCCGGCGAACUACGUGCCAGCAGCCGCGGUAAUACGCAGGGGGCCAGCGUUAUCCGGAUUUACUGGGCGUAAAGCGGGCGCAGACGGGAAUGCAAGGCAGGAGUGAAAGCCCGGGGCCCAAACCCGGGACUGUUCUUGAAACCGGGUGGCUGGAGUGAAGGAGGGGCAGGCGGAAUUCCUGGUGUAGCGGUGAAAUGCGUAGAGAUUAGGAAGAACACCAGUGGCGAAGGCGAUUCUCUGGACUGUAACUGACGCUGAGGCUCGAAAGCGUGGGGAGCAAACAGGAUUAGAUACCCGUGUAGUC